rnacentral:misc_RNA from 1 species
GUUCAGUAACACUAGGUUGAUCAUUGGCGAUUUUCGGCUUAAUGUAAUAAGGAGGAGGAACCAAACUGAGUGGUCUGUCUUUGCUAGGGUUCACAGGCUUUUCUGGAGCUCUUGGUGAUCUAUCAUAAGCAUUGCGGUUUUGUUGUUGCUCGUCUGCGUGAGUUUCAGACUUGCUCCGGUUCAGUCGGGUCAAGGGAUGAGGGACAGAGGC